UGUAGCAAAAAAUUGGUGAG
rnacentral:siRNA from 1 species